rnacentral:rRNA from 1 species
AGGAUUACCCGCUGAACUUAAGCAUAUCAAUAAACCGAGAGGAAUC